rnacentral:rRNA from 1 species
GGGAACGUCUCCCCGGCACGACCGGAUCGACGUCCGCUUCGGCAGGCAGCCGCGGAUGUCUCCGGCGGGAGCUGGGGAGCGUUCCCUUAUUUUUUUAACUCUGUCGACCUCAGAUCAGACGAGAAUACCCGCUGAAU